rnacentral:rRNA from 1 species
UACGAAGGGGGCUAGCGUUGCUCGGAAUCACUGGGCGUAAAGAGCGUGUAGGCGGCCAGAUAGGUCCGUUGUGAAAACUCGAGGCUCAACCUCGAGACGCCGAUGGAAACCAUCUGGCUAGAGUCCGGAAGAGGAGAGUGGAAUUCCUGGUGUAGCGGUGAAAUGCGCAGAUAUCAGGAAGAACACCCGUGGCUAGGCGGCUCUCUAGUACGGUACUGACGCUGAGACGCGAAAGCGUGGGGAGCGAACAGG